UGUUCGGUUAAGUCCGCUAACGAGCGCAACCCUCGCUGUGUGUUACAAGUGUCACACGGUACUGCCGGUCUUAAAGCCGGAGGAAGUGGGAUGACGUCAAGUCAGCAUGGCCUUUAUAUCCUGGGCUACACACACGCUACAAUGGCCAACACAAUAGGUUGCUAAGCCGCGAGGUGGAGCCAAUCCAAAAAAAGUUGGUCUCAGUUCAGAUUGUAGGCUGCAACUCGCCUGCAUGAAGAUGGAGUUGCUAGUAAACGCAGGUCAGCUAUACUGCGUUGAAUACGUUCCCGGGGCUU
rnacentral:rRNA from 1 species